CGUAGGGUGCAAGCGUUAAUCGGAAUUACUGGGCGUAAAGCGUGCGCAGGCGGCUAUGCAAGACAGAUGUGAAAUCCCCGGGCUCAACCUGGGAACUGCAUUUGUGACUGCAUGGCUAGAGUACGGCAGAGGGGGAUGGAAUUCCGCGUGUAGCAGUGAAAUGCGUAGAUAUGCGGAGGAACACCGAUGGCGAAGGCAAUCCCCUGGGCCUGUACUGACGCUCAUGCACGAAAGCGUGGGGAGCAAACAGGAUUAGAUACCCUGGUAGUCCACGCCCUAAACGAUGUCAACUGGUUGUUGGACGGCUUGCUGUUCAGUAACGAAGCUAACGCGUGAAGCUGACCGCCUGGGGAGUACGGCCGCAAGGUUG
rnacentral:rRNA from 1 species